rnacentral:rRNA from 1 species
AUGCACGCUGGCGGCGUGCCUCAUACAUGCAAGUCGAGCGAACAGACGAGGAGCUUGCUCCUCUGACGUUAGCGGCGGACGGGUGAGUAACACGUGGAUAACCUACCUAUAAGACUGGGAUAACUUCGGGAAACCGGAGCUAAUACCGGAUAAUAUAUUGAACCGCAUGGUUCAAUAGUGAAAGACGGUUUUGCUGUCACUUAUAGAUGGAUCCGCGCCGCAUUAGCUAGUUGGUAAGGUAACGGCUUACCAAGGCAACGAUGCGUAGCCGACCUGAGAGGGUGAUCGGCCACACUGGAACUGAGACACGGUCCAGACUCCUACGGGAGGCAGCAGUAGGGAAUCUUCCGCAAUGGGCGAAAGCCUGACGGAGCAACGCCGCGUGAGUGAUGAAGGUCUUCGGAUCGUAAAACUCUGUUAUUAGGGAAGAACAAAUGUGUAAGUAACUAUGCACGUCUUGACGGUACCUAAUCAGAAAGCCACGGCUAACUACGUG